CACUUCGACUUAUCGCCCGCUUUGGCCGCCUCGUGAUGUAAAGGGGUGCACACGCCACCUUUUCCUUUUCUGUGUGUGUGGUCUCCGGCGCACGCGCACAUUUUCCGCCUUUCUGCGGUCCUUCCACUGCUUUCGGCCAAAUGUCAUUGACGUCUGGAUGUCUGCAGAUAUUGAGUAUCUUUACACGUCUCCACCCCACCAUCACCCACUCGUGCUCGAUGGUCUUCACUUGAUCCAAUCCUCAGCGCCCCCCCCUUCCCUGCCUGAACCCAACCCCGCCCACCCCACCUACGUGCCUCGGCUAUCUUGACGAUGCGGGGAGGGAGAGUGUGCGCGCGUUUGUGUCAGGUGUUUCCUUUUCUCGUGUGUGUGUGUGUGUGUGUGUGUGUCGUGUGUGGUGUCACAGCGGGGCAGAGCGCUGCUCUCUGCGUCACGUCUCUGCAGUCGUGGGCCAUCGCUUGCUCUUGUGUUUGCCUCUUUAUCGUAGCCAUCUUGCUAGCAGCCGUGGGCCGCCCGCUGCGGUUCCUUCUCAUAUAUUUUUUGCUACCUCUCGCUCGAGGUGUUGCCUUGACAGUCGUCAGGUGUGUGUGUGUGUCGCGCUGUGGGGGGGGGAGGGGGCGGUGAUAAUACCCCCUCUUAGUCAUUCACAUCGACAAGGGAGAGACUUGCCUCUUCUCCUCGAAAGAGAAACGGCACUGCACGCAAGCUGACGCGCCCCCAUCCGUGUGCAUCGCAGGACCCGAUGGACAAGCAGGAUGACGCCCGCGAUGCUGACCACUUGCAGGACAUGGAGAGCGUAGCGACCGCCCACCGGGCCUCGGUGAUUGGUGCGCCGUCUUCCUCGCUGGUUACGGCAUCCCACGCCGCCGCCUCUUCGAUCGUGUCCGUGGGUGGCCCGUCGACCUCCUUUGACGCAGGUGCGAUUGCACCGCCGGCAAGCAGCACCCACGUCGCCAGUCCGCGUCCUCUUAGCAUCUCGAUCGGAAGUGAUGCAUUUGCAAACGCUGGCGGAGCGCUGCUCAUGCCAUCCGCGGUCGGCCGGCACAACGAAUUUCUGCGGACGUACAAGGUGCUUAUCGUCGGCGAGGCAGGCGUGGGCAAGUCGAAUCUCAUGCACCGGUACUGCUACAACGAGUACGACCCGGCGCUGCCCUCCACGAUCGGGGUGGAGUUCUGCUCUCGGGAGGUCGGAAUUCCAUCUGGGCCUGUCGGCGUCACCGAGACAGUCGUGCUGCAGCUCUGGGAUACUGCCGGCCAGGAGCGCAACGCGGGCGUCAUCAGCAACGCCUUCUACCGCAACGCGGUCGGCGCCAUCAUCGUGUACGAUGUGACACGGCACGAGUCACUGCUGAGCGUUCCACGUUGGGCAGCGCAGGUGACACAGCUGGCGCGCGACAACUGCGUGUGCGUCGUCGUUGGCGCUAAGCUGGACUUGCUGGACGCGAACGCAGCCGCAACGUCGACGACUGCGGGCUCGCUCGAGGCGCUGCAGCAGGAAGCGGAUCGCAUCUCACACGCGAUGGGCAUGCGAAACUUUAUGACGUCGGCGCUAUCAGGGAAAGGAGUGCUGGAAGCCUUCACGCACCUCAUACUCGCUGUAGAUGCCGUGCAAGCAGCAUCGCUGCAUAACAACGGCAUUUUCUCCGGCAGAUAUCGGACAAGGUGCAGCAGCCACGUCAGUGGUGCCUCAGUGCGAGAGGCGCAGAUGCAAACGGCAGCUGCCGUUGCCUCUGCCUCUUCGGCGGAUUUGACGGAUGGCGCUGAGGGACGCCGCGGCUGGCCCGACGGAGACGGUGCUUCAUUGCCACUGUCACGCGUGGUGUCGACGCCGCUGGUGAGCGGGUAUACCGGCGCCUCUCCUUCGGCUGGCCGGUUGCAGCGGCAGCCGUCUUCACAUGCCAAGAAGACGCUGGACCUAAGAGGCUUCGGCAGCUCUGAAGCGGGUUCCGGUGCAUACGAAGCCUCGCCUGCAUGUAGUGGAGGGUGGGGGUGCUGACAAGCGACAAGGAUGAUGGUGCUUUUUAUCUCGCCGCCUUCAGCCCCCCCCCACUACCCCACCCCUUUCGGUGUCCUCUCUAUUUAUAUAUAUGCAUCUGUAUGUACACAUAUAUGCAUACAUGUGUAUGUGUUUGUGUGAGCGAGAGAGAGAGCGCCGUAAUGCCGUGCACGUAUGGCGUCGUGCAGCAGCUCCCUCUCGCCCACGUCUCCUUAUCCCGCGUGCACCCUUUCCUCGUUUUUCCCCUUCUUCGCGCUCUUUGUUGGCUAUGUUGAGUGUCUGCGGAAGCGCUGGUGUUAUGUAUUUUGUGUGUGUGUCGUGGUGGUGGUGGACAGUGGACGGUGGAGGGGCGCGCAGGAGCACACGGGCACACGCGUGCACGCUCUCUGGCCUUCUCUGCAAAAGCG
rnacentral:misc_RNA from 1 species